UCAGGCCUAACACAUGCAAGUCGAACGGUAACAGGUUAAGCUGACGAGUGGCGAACGGGUGAGUAAUGUAUCGGAACGUGCCCAGUCGUGGGGGAUAACUGCUCGAAAGAGCAGCUAAUACCGCAUACGACCUGAGGGUGAAAGCGGGGGAUCGCAAGACCUCGCGCGAUUGGAGCGGCCGAUAUCAGAUUAGGUAGUUGGUGGGGUAAAGGCCUACCAAGCCUACGAUCUGUAGCUGGUCUGAGAGGACGACCAGCCACACUGGGACUGAGACACGGCCCAGACUCCUACGGGAGGCAGCAGUGGGGAAUUUUGGACAAUGGGCGCAAGCCUGAUCCAGCCAUGCCGCGUGCGGGAAGAAGGCCUUCGGGUUGUAAACCGCUAUUGUCAGGGAAGAAAAGGUUCUGGCUAAUACCUGGGACUC
rnacentral:rRNA from 1 species